UACGUAGGGUGCAAGCGUUGUCCGGAAUUAUUGGGCGUAAAGAGCUCGUAGGCGGUUUGUCGCGUCUGCUGUGAAAACUCAGGGCUUAACCCUGAGCCUGCAGUGGGUACGGGCAGACUAGAGUGUGGUAGGGGAGAUCGGAAUUCCUGGUGUAGCGGUGGAAUGCGCAGAUAUCUGGAGGAACACCGGUGGCGAAGGCGGCAUUCUGGACCGAUAUUGACGCUGAGGAGCGAAAGCCAGGGGAGCAAACGGG
rnacentral:rRNA from 1 species